AGUGAACGCUGGCGGUAGGCCUAACACAUGCAAGUCGAACGGCAGCACAGUAAGAGCUUGCUCUUACGGGUGGCGAGUGGCGGACGGGUGAGGAAUACAUCGGAAUCUACUUUUUCGUGGGGGAUAACGUAGGGAAACUUACGCUAAUACCGCAUACGACCUACGGGUGAAAGCAGGGGAUCUUCGGACCUUGCGCGAUUGAAUGAGCCGAUGUCGGAUUAGCUAGUUGGCGGGGUAAAGGCCCACCAAGGCGACGAUCCGUAGCGGGUCUGAGAGGAUGAUCAGCCACACUGGAACCGAGACACGGUCCAGACUCCUACGGGAGGCAGCAGUGGGGAAUAUUGGACAAUGGGCGCAAGCCUGAUCCAGCCAUACCGCGUGGGUGAAGAAGGCCUUCGGGUUGUAAAGCCCUUUUGUUGGGAAAGAAAAGCAGCAGGUUAAUACCCCGCUGUUCUGACGGUACCCAAAGAAUAAGCACCGGCUAACUUCGUG
rnacentral:rRNA from 1 species